GACGUAGGGGGCAAGCGUUGUUCGGAAUUAUUGGGCGUAAAGAGCGUGUAGGCGGCCUGAAAGGUCAGCUGUGAAAACUCGAGGCUCAACCUCGAGACGUCGGUGGAAACCAUCAGACUAGAGUCCGGAAGAGGAGAGUGGAAUUCCUGGUGUAGCGGUGAAAUGCGCAGAUAUCAGGAAGAACACCCGUGGCUAAGGCGGCUCUCUAGUACGGUACUGACGCUGAGACGCGAAAGCGUGGGGAGCGAACAGG
rnacentral:rRNA from 1 species